rnacentral:rRNA from 1 species
GACGAGGGGUCCAAGCGUUGUUCGGAAUCAUUGGGCGUAAAGCGGGUGUAGGCGGCUCUAUAAGUCAGGAGUGAAAGCCCCAAGCUUAACUUGGGAAGUGCUUUUGAUACUGCAGAGCUUGAAUGUGGGAGAGGGUAGUGGAAUUCCAGGUGUAGUGGUGAAAUACGUAGAUAAUCUGGAGGAACACCGGUGGCGAAGGCGGCUACCUGGCCCAACAUUGACGCUGAGGAGCGAAAGCGUGGGGAGCGAACAGG